GUGGAUUAGAUACCCUGGUAGUCCACGCCGUAAACGAUGGGUACUAGGUGUUGCGGGUAUUGACCCCUGCAGUGCCGAAGCUAACGCAUUAAGUACCCCGCCUGGGGAGUACGGUCGCAAGACUAAAACUCAAAGGAAUUGACGGGGGCCCGCACAAGCGGUGGAGCAUGUGGUUUAAUUCGACGCAACGCGAAGAACCUUACCUGGGCUUGACAUCCCGAUCGUACCUGCUGGAAACAGUGGGGUCAGUUCGGCUGGAUCGGAGACAGGUGCUGCACGGCCGUCGUCAACU
rnacentral:rRNA from 1 species